rnacentral:lncRNA from 1 species
UUUCUUCAACUUUCAAGCUUUAUAGUAAGUGAUUCCAAGCCCCGUUUUUAAUGAUCUUUACGUUUUUGGAGUCCCGGUAACUUGAUUAAGCUUAUUCUAGCAAUAAUUCAGCCUAGGGUUCAUAUUUGGAAAAAUACCCAUGGCUGAAAUUUGUGUAUUUUGGUGUUUUAUGAUAGAAUAUGAGGUUUUAAAUUAUGUUAAACAACUUAUGCUACUCGGUUUUAAGUGAAAACGAGUAAAAGGGCUUAAAUUGGAAAAAAAUACCAAUAUUCAUAAGUAUAUGUUAGAGUGUGAUUUUGAUAUUGCCAUAGAAGGGAAAAAUGAUCAGCAUGUCAUAAAACAUAAGAAAAUAGGAUGAAGUUUAAUUUACGAGCCUUGGGGCAAAAGUGCAAAUAUGUGAAAGUUUAGGGGUAAAAAUAUAAUUUUGCAAAAGUUUGGGUCAAGGACUGUUUUAAUAAAUUUGAAUAUUAAAUAAGUUAAAUUUGCUAUUAUAGAUCAAGAAGAACGAAAUUCGGGAGUAGAUCGGGGAAAAGAAAAAGUAAAGGACUAAAUUGUAAAGUUUAGUCACAUUUUGUAUCAAGGUAAGUUUACAGUAAAUAAAUGCAAUAUUCUUUUAUUUUACAUUAUUAUUGUCAAUUUCCAGCAUUUAUAUAUUUAUGUUAUGAAAAUAUUUAAAGUCGAAUUUAAGGUGAAGUGACAGAGGAAAAGUGUUAGAAAGCUCCGGUUGAACCCUAGGAAUGUUAGGAUAUUAGGGUUGACAGGACAGAACAGAAAUGAGCCAUGUAAGUCCAUAUUAGAAAUAUGGCUUUGGAGACAGGAUUGAGCCAUGUAAGUCCAUAUUAUAUAUGGCAUUGGAGACAGGAAUAAUUCAUGUAAGUCCAUGUUAAAGACAUGGCAUUGGCAGGAUAUUGAUAGACAGGAACGACCCUAGUAUCCUUAGUAUUCCGAGUGGUUCAACGGGUCAGGAUACGAGUUAAAUUACAGUGAAUUAACAGCA